CCGGGUUUCUGUUGCGCGGAGGCUGGAUGACUCACCCGAGAUAUCAGAUGCAUUCCACCAGCCCCCACAAACCAGCGACAGUCAAGCUGGACAAGUGUCACCUGCCUCGUCAGUGAGCUGUCGACGGGUGUCACCUGCCUCGUCAGUGAGCUGUGUUGGGUUGUCUAGUUCCUAAGACUUCUAGACCAGACCUGCUCGACAGGCGUUCUCCUGACACCCUUCCGCACUUGCACCUGGCCUCUUACAUCACAGAGCACCCUUUCCUGAGGCCUUCCUCUGAAUCAAAGGAUACCCAGAAACACCAGUGGACAAAGGCCUACUUCCUCAGGGGAGCCACUCGGCCCAAAGGCAUUUGGGAAACAGAAGAAAGACAACAGAGAAGCUUUAUUAGCCGCCUACAUGCUCCCUCUCAAAGUCUCUGGUAUGUGGAUUAUUAUUCUGUCUCAAAUUUUGCUGCUACUCAAGAAUUUUUGACUUAGCGAAGAAAUAAACCUAGACUCCCAGCCUGUUCUUGCCCUUACCUUAGAACCUCAGAUGUGGACUUGGACUUGGUGUCAAAUCGCCAUCCCAUCUGCUUGAAGACCAUCAGUAGGACCCACCCUCAGCCUUGGGCCACACCCAGUCAGGGCUCAUCAGGCUUAGCAGGAAAACUGAGGCCCUGAGAAGGAUGUGGAGCCAGGGAGGGGGGAAAGAGGCGAGACUCUGUCCAGGGGAAGGACAGGAGGGACAGUCCAUCUGUCCAUCUGCUGGGCGGAGCAGGAGGAAGGUCUUUAAUGAAACAUCUCAGAGAACAGGGUGGGUCUGCAUAACCACCCCAGAACCAAGGCACAGAGGAGGUUUGAAAUGUCCAGGAUAAAUAGAACCAAUGGGGGUGGAGAGAAAGCCAGCUCCUCCCCCUUUUAAUCUUACUAAACAGUCUUACUGUGGGCACCAAAAAUAUAUUAAUAUCUGUACAUUUGUCAUCUUUAAAAAAAAAAAGGAAAUAAAACCUCCUUGGCACCUUG
rnacentral:lncRNA from 1 species